CGGCCGCGUCGACAAUGAGUACACUUUAAAUCCUUUAACGAGGAUCUAUUGGAGGGCAAGUCUGGUGCCAGCAGCCGCGGUAAUUCCAGCUCCAAUAGCGUAUAUUAAUUUUGCUGUUGUUAAAAAGCUCGUAGUUGGAUCUCGGUUUCGGGCGGGUGGUGCGCCUUGCGGCGUUUACUGUCUGCCCGGACGAUUUUGUUGGUUCGUUCAUGGUGCUCUUAAUCGGGUGCCUUGAGUGGCCAGCACGUUUACUUUGAAAAAAUUGGAGUGCUCAAAGCAGGCGCUACAGCCUGAACAAUUGUGCAUGGAAUAAUGGAAUAGGAUCUCGGUUCUAUUUCGUUGGCUUUCGGAGUCGAGGUAAUGAUUAAUAGGGACAGACGGGGCAUUCGUACUGCGACGUUAGAGGUGAAAUUCUUGGAUCGUCGCAAGACGAACUACUGCGAAAGCAUUUGCCAAGAAUGUUUCAUAAUCAAGACGAAGUUAGAGGUUCGAAGCGAUCAGAUACGCCUAGUCUAACAUAACGAUGUCGACUGGACG
rnacentral:rRNA from 1 species